CAGCUUUAGAUUAAAAAUUUUCAAGAGUGAUUUCAAUUGUGUUUUGUUACUUUGUUUAAUUCAUUUUCUCAUGUAAUUGAAUCGCUAAUUCAAUAAACAUAAUUUUAACAUGAUUACAUCUUCAUAAAUCUGUUUACAACAGUGUAAAAUGUUUUUUUCCUGAUUAUCAUCAUUAUCUUUUCGAGUUUCGUCUUCCAUUUUCAUGUCUUCAUCUCUACAUCAAAUCAACAUCACUUUAUACCAAAUUGUUCCUUUCUCUUUCUCUCUCUCUUCUUCAUCUUUUCAUCCUCCCUGGUGUCUGUCAAAAUUUCCCUUAGGCCAUGUCACUUGAAAUCUUUAGUGUCAACCGUAUAAAGAUCAAAUCUUCAUCCAUUUCCAAUUUUUUGGCCAUCUUCUCGCUUCACCAAACUUCAAGUUGAACCAGCUUUGAUCCAAAUGAUGAUAAUUUUUAUGGACUUGUCCUUUUCAUAUUAUAUUAUCUUGUUUGUCGGAUAAUCAUUAAAAAAACUCAUCAUCUGUUUUUUUAAUAUCUUGACAUUUCAAUAUGAUGAUCUAAUAAUAUUUUUCCUGACUGGUUCAACACUAAUGUCAUUUUACACAUUAGAGAUCAGUCGAUAAACCAGUUUUUAAGCUCAAAUAAUUACAUUUAUCACCAUUUACAUCGCUAUUGUCCUUUUGUUGGAUAGGGAAAUGAGGUAGCGCUAAGUAACGUCUACAACGGACAGAAAUGGAUUUUAUCUUAUUAAAGGAGUUUGGAGACAAAUCACAGUUUUAUUUGCAGUUGAAAGGAUCAUUUGAAAUUGAUCAUGUUGAAGACGAUGAUAAUCAUGAUGAUUAUGGUUAAGCAAAGAAAGGACCUAUUUCUUCUCUACCGUCAACAAGAAGAUGUAAACUGAAAAGGCAUGAAAAUAACUUUUCCUCUCAAUCUUCAAGAAAAUACCUUUUUUUUCUUCCUCUUCAAGUGAUACCUUAAGCCAUGACGAAGACUCAUAUCAAAUGAUUGUGACAAACAAAUCAUUCACUUAAAUCCGGCAAUUUAUUUAUCUGACUUAAACAUUUUGCAUGCACUUUCAUGAUGAUGAGCAUUCUCAUCAUGAAAGUGUAUAAGAUGAAGAAGAUAAUCUCAAGCAUAAUUUUUAUUCUAUCAAUCUGUAUUUUUUUUGAAAUCAAGAGGCACAUCAAUUUCAAUUUUAUUUCAUUAUUAUUACUUAACCAUUAAUCUUUUCGUUAAAGUACUUAUCACUGCUUACUUUGUGUCAUCGCCAUUAUUACAUAGGAAUCAAGUUUACUGAAUAUCUUUGGUUAUUAGGAUUGAUUUUUAUCGUAAAUUAUCAACAAUUUAAAUCAUACCUGGUAAGCUUUAAAUAUUUCAAUGUCAUUAAAUUGUAAAUUGUGAUUAUUGCUAUUAAACAGAUUAAGUUGCUUUCUUGUGCAGAUCAAGAUUCAUCAACUGAUACAAAA